UACGGAGGGUGCAAGCGUUGCUCGGAAUUAUUGGGCGUAAAGGGUGGGUAGGUGGGUCGUUAAGUCGGGGGUGAAAUCCUGGAGCUCAACUCCAGAACUGCCUUCGAUACUGGCGAUCUUGAGUCCGGAAGAGGUGAGUGGAACUCCUAGUGUAGAGGUGGAAUUCGUAGAUAUUAGGAAGAACACCAGUGGCGAAGGCGGCUCACUGGUCCGGUACUGACGCUGAGGUGCGAAAGCGUGGGGAGCAAACAGG
rnacentral:rRNA from 1 species